AGUGAACGCUGGCGGCGUGCUUAACACAUGCAAGUCGAACGAGAACGGUCGUUAGCUUGCUAAGAUUGUCAGCUAAGUGGCGCACGGGUGAGUAAUAUAUAGGUAACGUGCCUUCAAGAAGGGGAUAACAAUUGGAAACGAUUGCUAAAACCCUAUAUGCCUUUAAGUCUUAAGACUGCAAGGGAAAUAUUUAUAGCUUGAAGAUCGGCCUGUACAGUAUCAGUUAGUUGGUGAGGUAAUGGCUCACCAAGACAAUGACGCUUAACUGGUUUGAGAGGAUGAUCAGUCACACUGGAACUGAGACACGGUCCAGACUCCUACGGGAGGCAGCAGUGGGGGAAUAUUGCACAAUGGACGAAAGUCUGAUGCAGCAACGCCGCGUGGAGGAUGACACAUUUCGGUGCGUAAACUCCUUUUAUAUAGGAAGAUAAUGACGGUACUAUAUGAAUAAGCACCGGCUAACUCCGUGCCAGCAGCCGCGGUAA
rnacentral:rRNA from 1 species